CCCAGCUAUAGGCAAUGGUCUAGGUUGCCUCAUACUUAGGCAAAUGUUACAUUGCUGGGAGAAAAAAAGCCAGUAGCUAGCAGGCAUUCUGGGCCUGGCUAAUGCCAAAUU
rnacentral:snoRNA from 1 species